rnacentral:rRNA from 1 species
AACGAACGCUGGCGGCAUGCCUAACACAUGCAAGUCGAACGAGACCUUCGGGUCUAGUGGCGCACGGGUGCGUAACGCGUGGGAACCUGCCCUUAGGUUCGGAAUAACUCCCCGAAAGGGGUGCUAAUACCGGAUAAUGUCUUCGGACCAAAGAUUUAUCGCCUUUGGAUGGGCCCGCGUUGGAUUAGCUAGUUGGUAGGGUAAAAGCCUACCAAGGCGACGAUCCAUAGCUGGGCUGAGAGGAUGAUCAGCCACACUGGGACUGAGACACGGCCCAGACUCCUACGGGAGGGAGCAGUGGGGAAUAUUGGAAAAUGGGCGAAAGCCUGAUCCAGCAAUGCCGGGUGAGUGAUGAAGGCCUUAGGGUUGUAAAGCUCUUUUACCCGGGAUGAUAAUGACAGUACCGGGAGAAUAAGCUCCGGCUAACUCCGUG